GGAUCACCGGGUUCAUUCCAACACGACAGAGGAAAUAGGCUUCAUAAUAUUAGCGUGAAUUUCCAGGGAGCUAACACAAAUGACAAGUAUGUCACCUUUAGAUGUGGGAUUGUGCUGAUUGAAAGUAUCCAAAACUAUGAUGAGACCUAUGUUGCUGCAGUGCAGGCUGCCGUGACCGACGUAUGUACCGACCAAUCACGUCCGGUUUGUCACGUGACAAUCCCUGCCCCUUCCGGCUGCCCCUGCCAAGUAAUGAUAAACUACAUGUGUUGCGAUGAAUUGUAUUAAAUGAGAAACGCCAGGACUUCAAAAAUGCUGGACAAAGCGGAGUUAUGGAGAGAUUUUUCGACUGCGUUUUAAUAUGCAGUUGUAUAUUAUUCCCACUGAAUAUUAGUUAGCAGAUUGAAAAAAACUGUCGCAGCUUGCUUAUUUACUUAUUUCAUAGAACAUCAUUCACUUCUCAAAUUAAUUUAAAACUUAAAUUUAUCUUACUUGUAUUGAAGGUCAUUAUGUACUCAUUUCAGUUUCCUUUAUAUAAUAUUCUAGUGGGGUGAAAAAAUAUUAUAAUUAUAUGUAUUUAUUAUGUUUUAAUAUUUUAUAUUAAAGGGAAACAUUUAGUUUGCUAGGAAAGCUUGAUUUCGAUGCAGUAUGCCUUAAAUCACUUUUUAAAUUCUAAUAAUGCAAGGGGGUUGGUUAAUUGAUUUAAUGACAAGUAAGCCUGCUAGAUUCCAAAGGCACCUCGUUGUGCACCAUUUCUGUUAUUUAAUAUUUUACUUAAUUGAUCUAUCUUAUUAAAUAUUCAGAUUACAAUUACAUAUCUUAAUAUUCGUAUGUACUCAUUUGGUGUGAUAAGGGAGUGGUUAGCUGUCUUGUA